UUCUGUUUAGCUCAGUUGGUAGAGCGCUCCACUGGAAACGGAGAGGUGCCUGGUUCAAUACCAGGACCAGGCG
rnacentral:tRNA from 2 species